UUAGCUUGGUCUUAAGUGUGAUAGCUCUGUGCUUGGUUUUAGAUGUUUUGUUCCUAGAUGUCACGUUCAGAGUAUCGUGAGCUGGAAUCUCCAACACCUGGCACGUUGCUGUUUUCUGCCUCUGGACGUCUUGUCUGUGGUAUUUGUUAUGGCUUUCAAGGGUCUUGGAGGAGCCUUCCUUUAGAGCAGAUUGCCUGUGGCCUCCUCCGACCAGUGCUGUGCAUGGAGGAUGCAGUGCCUCUUCCUGACGCACAGAUGUUGUCGAUCCUGGAUAGACAAGCUGCUCUGCUGCAUGAGAAGUGACAAUAUCAGCGCUGAAACAAAAGACCUAAAAAUGCAGAACACCAGUAAGGGUGAAGUGUUGGCAGCUGAGUCUGUAUAUGUGCAUAUCAUAUUUGUGCUCUUCAGUGUGGUGUUUGUAAGACUUAGUCAUGAGAAGUAUAUUGGUUCAUUUAUUAUUUAUUAAUGCCACAUAAUUUCCUAUAGUCUUUUCCCUUAAAUGUCAUGUCUGCUUCUAGUUUCAAAGAUCUUCAUUAAGCAUAGCUGCAGUUUCAGUAAAAAGUUUUGGAGAUUUCAC